UAGAAAAUGGCGUGAGAAGUUCAACUGAUCUCACUCAGAUAAAUUAUUUCUUAGGAAAUUACUUUUUUAGCUACAUUACAACAUUACAACGACGAGUUUGACUUUAUUCGCUGUAGUUAUGUUAUAGAAGUGAAUUAUUCGAAAUAUUCAAGAAAUAUUUUGUAAAUUUGAAGAGUAAAUUUAUCAAUUGUGGAUUUUGCAUUAUAUUAUCUUUGGAUGAUAUGGCGGAAUUCGACGAGUGUGUUAUGUGCUAUGUUACGUAACUACGUAAGAGAAUAAAAUUGGAAGAAAAGAGCAAAAAGAGAGAAAGGAAAGAAGACAGGAAAUAGUGUAUUUGAGAAAGAAGGAGAAUAAAGUUGAAAUCGUGGAAGAAGAAAGAGAAGAUAAACGGGACAACAACACGCGGGGAAAUUCUUUUUUAUUUUUAGGCAUCGUCAACUCGAGAACAGUGCCUGUCGCGGACCAAGAGAUAUGCCGAAGAUUGGAGACGUACAUCGCUAGUAGUACCGGUGAGGAUGCCAUUGCAAUUGAAGUUGAAGAAUCGAUAGCGAAUAGUGAAUGUCAUAACGUUGACGCGACCAUGUCGACGAUAAAAACGAGUAAUACGACAGGAACGAAUCAUAUCCUACCAGCUCUUAGUCGCUUCAAGUAUGAAUAUUUCGUCGCCGGUAUAUCCGGUGGCGUUGUUUCGACACUCACCCUUCAUCCAUUGGAUCUAAUCAAAAUUAGAUUGGCAGUUAACGAUGGACGUAGCUCAAUACCGCAAUACACAGGUAUAGUAUCUGCCUUCAAGCAGAUUAUGAAAAGUGAAGGAAUACGUGGAUUCUACAGAGGAGUGACACCGAACGUCUUGGGAUCAGGCUGCUCUUGGGGAUUAUAUUUCUUCUUUUACAAUAACAUAAAGACAUGGAUUCAAGGAGGAAAUGCGAAGAAACCAUUAGGUCCAUCAAUGCAUAUGCUAGCUGCUGCAGAUGCAGGAAUAUUAACUUUGUUGAUGACUAAUCCAAUAUGGGUAGUGAAAACACGAUUAUGUUUACAAUAUGUUGAAGAUAAAAAUCUUGCAGAAUCCAAGAGAUACUCAGGAGUAACAGAUGCCCUGUUAAAGAUCUAUAGAACCGAAGGAAUCAGGGGUUUAUAUAAGGGUUUAGUUCCUGGAAUGUUUGGUGUAUCACAUGGUGCCAUACAAUUUAUGACAUAUGAAGAAAUGAAAAAUAAAUAUAAUAUAUACCAAAACGUACCUAUCGACACAAAACUGAACAUGUUCGAAUAUAUCCUUUUUGCUGCCGUUUCUAAGGUAAUUGCAGCUGCUGUAACAUAUCCUUAUCAGGUAUUAAGGGCGCGUUUGCAAGAUCAUCAUCUUGACUACAGAGGAACGUGGCACUGCGUCCAGGUGACAUGGAGGUGUGAAGGUUGGCGUGGAUUUUACAAGGGUCUUAGUGUCAACCUUAUGAGAGUGACCCCAGCAACUGUGAUUACCUUUUUGGUCUACGAGAAUGUUACCCACUUCUUCAAGCGCAACCCACAAUAUGCAAACAUUGGGUCAAGUGGAUAGAACAAUAUCUUCGACAGGUUCGAUGAACAUGUUCUAAUAGAACAACGUAUAAUACACGAGCCAACUACAUCGCUGGCGGAACCAUACGUGUCAACAACAUCAUGACGCUUACAACGCUGCGAAGACAUGCAUCAACAAGCGUACAGGAUAUAACACGGCUGGUGAUUUAACGAUGGCGACUGUUGGUUGAUAUCCAGGACCUUCAGCCCCGCCCAUGUGAUUUAAAUCGCGACCUUUUCAGUGACGACCUGAUGACCCCGUACACGUUCGAGGGUACUCCCAAAGAGGAUACGGUGAAGAAAUUCUUCAAAUUGAAUAUCAAACGUAGGUUCGUCGUCUCGUUUCUUCUUAUUUCGAUUAAUGCUAUGGGAAAAAAUAUGACGGAAGUUGUACGACGUCAUAUCAGGAGUCUUUCUUAUCCCGAAGAAAGCGAAAUGGGGAUCACGAGGAAUGAAAUUGAUAUAUACUAACGAUUGAGACAGAACAAAAAUGACAGAAUAUGAAGAUUCUUCUUAGAAGAGAAAGAGAGAAAUAUAUAGAAUGAGUACUUUAUUAUUUUCAAUUCGAAGAACAAAUUAGUAGACCAAGAAAAAGACGAUUAUAAGAUGCAGAAUUAUUUAAGAAAAAAAAAAGUAAAACAAUACAAUUUUCAAAACAAAAAUAGAAAGAAAAGAAAAAGGAAGAAUACGAAAGUUAAAGUGACUUUAAUAACGAAAUAUUCUAAAGUAUUUGCGAUCAAAUUCAUUUAUCGCACGAAAUUUGAACGAAAUUAUAUAUAAGAGGAAAUUAAAUCAUAAACGAUUUUCAAGAGAAAAUUGGGAUUCCCCUGCGUUAAUGAACCGAACAUAAAAUUAUUUUCGCUAGGUACGGUUAGAGUGUACUGAUUUCUCACCCUCUAAGUGUGAUCGACGAAACGGAGGGACUUAAAGAGAUAGAGAAAGAGAGAGAGACGGAGAGAGAGAAAGAGAGAGAGAGGGAGAGAGAGUAAGAGAAACAGAGAGAUAGAGAGAGAGUGAGUGAGAAAGAAAGAAGAGAGAGGAGAGUGGCCGUUGAUAAGCGAGGCCAUCGAUUUCCGUUUUCGGCUGGUUUGGUCGACGAGACUGGCAGGCAGGCAACGAGUUACCAACGAACUACCAGCUCGUCCAGUUUAGUAAUCAACGCGAGGGUGGCUUUAAUCGCAGUCCGCCGCAACUUUAUUUUCCAGCUUACUCGUGGCGGAAUCCUAUCAAGCCACCUCAUCAUUGCGUAUUUACUACAUAUUCUUUGCCCUCGCAAUACCUUUGGACGAUCCAAUCACGACGUACUCGAUGUCUGCUGCCUUUUUCUUCGAGGCGAAUUAUAAGUUGCCGACGAAGGAUGAUAUCGACUUAGAGGUCAAAGGGAAAGAGAAAAGGCAAAGAAAAAGCAUAGAUCGCACCACGGUCUAUUCCAUGUUGGAAUCAAAAUUUAAAUCAAUCGGCUAUCCGGCUCGACAGUGCCUUCUCAGAUCUAUAUGCGAGACCACACGACUGCCCUGGAAGCUCAAUGCUGGUGUCCUUGGAGAUCUUUUGAGAAUCCUGUUCACACCAUCCUCAUCACGUUUCGAAGUCGAUCUUCACAAGGAAUACGCCGAAGCUGAGAAGGUCGAUGGUACGAGGAAAUGUUCCGAAAUUUAUUCCACCUGCAAGUACGGGAUUUACGACUACAUAACGCUCCCCUAUCAGGAUUUGUGAGAGUAGCAGCUUGCCUUCGGUCGGUCCUUCUCUCUACCCUCCAGCACUCUUGGUUGGUACGACGCUCUCGAAGCUCUAAUGAAAACUCACGAAAGUUUGCUAAAUCAGAAAGACCUCGUUUUUCCGAGCGCUUUUCUUUCCUCUUUCUGUCUACAAGCCACUCCCGCAUUACGUGCGCCAACGUAAUUCCAUUAUGUAGAUAAAAUCAGCUUGUUUACUUCUUGGAAAGGAAGCUCCUUCGACUUCUUCGUGGUGAAUGUCUCGUAGCUUGGCCAUUUUUGCAACAGUGCAGUUAGGAUGAGAAAGUCCAAUCAAGUUGAAAACGAGUGUAAGAAGGAAUGAUCGUUUUAUGCUUUUCUCAUGUAUCCUUACCUUGUCUGUAUCCACUCUUACACUCACUCAUUCGUUCGUAUAGACGUAUUCUCAAGCAAUAAAAAAUUUGAAACCA